rnacentral:rRNA from 1 species
AAUUUUGGACAAUGGGCGCAAGCCUGAUCCAGCCAUGCCGCGUGAUGUAAGAAGGCCGUCGGGUUGUAAAGCUCUUUCGGACGGAAAGAAAUCGCGCAGGCUAAUACCCUGCGCGGCUGACGGUACCGUCAUAAGAAGCCCCUGCUAACUCCCUGACCUCCGCCGCGGUAAUAAGUAGGGUGCGAGCAUUAAUCGGAAUUACUGGGCGUAAAGCGUGCGCAGGCGGUUGAUUAAGACAGGCGUGAAAUCCCCGGGCUUAACCUGGGAACUGCGCUUGUGACUGGUCAGCUAGAGUACGGCAGAGGGGGGUGGAAUUCCACGUGUAGCAGUGAAAUGCGUAGAGAUGUGGAGGAACACCGAUGGCGAAGGCAGCCCCCUGGGCCGAUACUGACGCUCAUGCACGAAAGCGUGGGUAGCAAACAGG